rnacentral:ncRNA from 1 species
GCGAAAGGACGACCUUUCGUUCCUUCAAAUAUGGGACGGCCCA